UGACGGCGUACCUUUUGUAUAAUGGGUCAUCGACUUGGUCUAUCUAGCAAGCUUAAGCCGUUAGGUGUAGGCGCAGCGAAAGCGAGUCUUAAUAGGGCGUAUGAGUUAGAUGGAUCAGACCCGAAACCGAGUGAUCUAGGCAUGACCAGGAUGAAGGUUAGGUAACACUAACUGGAGGUCCGAACCCACACCUGUUGAAAAAGGUCGGGAUGAGUUGUGCCUAGGGGUGAAAGGCCAAUCAAACUCGGAGAUAGCUGGUUCUCCGCGAAAUCUAUUUAGGUAGAGCGUCAUCCGAAUACCCCGGGGGGUAGAGCACUGGAUGGGUAAUGGGGCCCCACAGGCUUACUGAUCCUAACCAAACUCCGAAUACCCGGGAGUACUAGAUGGCAGACACACCACGGAUGCUAACGUCCGUGGUGGAGAGGGAAACAACCCUGACCUCCAGCUAAGGCCCCUAAUUCAUGGCUAAGUGGGAAAGCAGGUGGGACGACCAAAACAACCAGGAGGUUGGCUUAGAAGCAGCCAUCCUUUAAAGAUAGCGUAACAGCUCACUGGUCUAAUCAAGUUGUCCUGCGGCGAAGAUGUAACGGGGCUCAAGCCAUGAGCCGAAGCUGAGGAUGCACGUAGUGCAUGGUAGCGGAGCGUAGUGUGACAUAACACCAUGCCUCCUUAGUCCCCUCGGGGACAUUGGAGGCGAGGUGUUUUCGAUGAAGCCGGCGCGUGAGCGAUCCGGUGGAGAGAUCACUAGCGAGAAUGAUGACAUGAGUAGCGACAAACAGGGUGAGAGACCCUGUCGCCGAAAGUCCAAGGGUUCCUGCUUAAAGCUAAUCUGAGCAGGGUAAGCCGGCCCCUAAGGCGAGGCCGAAAGGCGUAGUCGAUGGGAACCAGGUUAAUAUUCCUGGGCCAGGAGAUGGUGACGGAUCACAAAGGUAGUUCAAUCUUAUCGGAUUGAUUGGGCUGCUCCGUGGUCCCUGGAAAUAGCCCUCCGUAGGACCGUACCCGAAACCGACACAGGUGGACUGGUAGAGAAUACCAAGGCGCUUGAGAGAACGAUGUUGAAGGAACUCGGCAAAAUACCUCCGUAAGUUCGCGAGAAGGAGGCCCAGUUUCUAGGCAACUAGUGGCUGGGGGCACAAACCAGGGGGUGGCGACUGUUUACUAAAAACACAGGGCUCUGCGAAGUCGCAAGACGACGUAUAGGGUCUGACGCCUGCCCGGUGCCGGAAGGUUAAAAGGAGGGGUGCAAGCUCCGAAUUGAAGCCCCGGUAAACGGCGGCCGUAACUAUAACGGUCCUAAGGUAGCGAAAUUCCUUGUCGGGUAAGUUCCGACCUGCACGAAUGGCGUAACGACUUCCCCGCUGUCUCCAACAUCGACUCAGCGAAAUUGAAUUGCCUGUCAAGAUGCAGGCUUCCCGCGGUUAGACGGAAAGACCCCGUGCACCUUUACUACAGCUUCACACUGGCAUCAGGCACAACAUGUGCAGGAUAGGUGGUAGACUUUGAAACCGGAACGCCAGUUUCGGUGGAGUCAUCCUUGAGAUACCACCCUUGUUCUGCUUGAUGUCUAACCGCGAUCCCUUAUCGGGUUCCGGGACCCUGUGUGGCGGGUAGUUUGACUGGGGCGGUCGCCUCCUAAAGCGUAACGGAGGCGCGCGAAGGUUGGCUCAGAGCGGUCGGAAAUCGCUCGUUGAGUGCAAUGGCAUAAGCCAGCCUGACUGCGAGACUGACAAGUCGAGCAGAGUCGAAAGACGGCCAUAGUGAUCCGGUGGUCCCAAGUGGGAGGGCCAUCGCUCAACGGAU
rnacentral:rRNA from 1 species